rnacentral:rRNA from 1 species
UACGUAGGGCGCAAGCGUUGUCCGGAAUUCUUGGGCGUAAAGAGCUCGUAGGCGGCCUGUUGCGUCCGCUGUGAAAACCCGGGGCUUAACCCCGGGCUUGCAGUGGAUACGGGCAGGCUGGAGGCAGGCAGGGGAGAACGGAAUUCCCGGUGUAGCGGUGAAAUGCGCAGAUAUCGGGAGGAACACCGGUGGCGAAGGCGGUUCUCUGGGCCUGUACUGACGCUGAGGAGCGAAAGCGUGGGGAGCGAACAGG